AGCCCAUCUAUGACUACAUCUUAGACGUGCUAAGGAUAAUAGCAGUGAUAGUGGAAGUCUACUUAAUGAGAGCUUCCAUGAGUCAGGUUGGAGCAAGAAGAUACCUAUGUAACAUUGUGCCUUGAUUCAACGAGAUACUCAGAGAUCACAUUCCAGGAGAGAAGAAGUUUAGAAGUGGCAGCAGGUUAACAAUGGCAUUUAGCUCUAAAGCACAAGGGCUUAUGGGUAACAGAUCCUUUUUCCUAAAAAAGAGGGGCAUUCUUAUCUAAUAUUUAUGUAAAGGAAACAGCUGUAAAUGGUCAUCCCAGGAAAUUCAUUGCUAGGAUUUGCCAGCCUACCCUGCAGAGACAGUUCAACUCAGCGAGAUAUAUACAUAUAUUUCAUAUAUAUAUCAAAUAUAUAUAUAUUUUUAACAUCUUUGAAAUUGAAGUUGGUAGAGCAAAUCUAACAAAGGGAAAUUAACGAGUGGCAUUCAUGCCCAGUCAGUUCAUUUAAUAUAAUGUCUGGCUCCUAACCCUAUUUUUGGUAAACUGCAAACAGAAUUUACUUGUUUUCUGAAGGGGAUCUGGGUCAGAAGCCAGUAACAGAGCAUCCAACAAGUUACUUUUCUGCCUUUGAACCACUCAGCUAGAGAAAUGUGAGGAGCAGUUUGGAAAAAGAGGGACUGUUCUUUAGUGUCUGUUUGGAAUUCGCUCUCUUUGUCCUGUACACAAGUACAGUCUGUAAAAUAUCACAUUCCUAGAAGGUGGAUUAAUGAAAUUCUGAAACCUCCUACAUAUGAUACACCUCCUGGGUAAUCUCACAUGUGUUAAAAUUGUUACAGACACUUUCCUAUCACCACAAUUACAGUUUUUAUUGUGUGGAGUGAGGGGUGGGGGAAAGAAUUCAUAAAAUAAAAGUUAGUCUUCGACAUGUGGCAAGUCCAUCAGCUACGUGAUAAAUCUUUCACAGAGCUGCAUUCCGUAAGGUGAGAGAGUCUGCUUUCCUUUACCAGGGCCUGACCUCCUGUUACUCAGUACUUUGGGGUACAACUGAACUUUGCAUCAGAAGGAAGUUCCAGAGGCCCCCUGUGGGCUGUCUGUUUCUUGCUGAGAACAUUCUAAGGCUGUGUUUUGAGUUGUUUGUCUUUCCCCUCCUUGAAUGCCAUGCAGUUUACUAGAGUAGACUUGCUUUUAUGUUUUCUUUCUCUUUCAUGUCCAUUUCUGGCUGACCGUUCAAUACUGUGGCCAUUGGCAUGAGUCGUAAUGCUUGGGUAACUGGGCAAGCAAUUAGUCCAACCAGACAGAUCUUCCUUCUUCAGCAAGUCUUUCCUGGCUUCUGCAAACACAGCUGGCCAGACAAAGACCAUGAGAAGAAACCAGACACUUGGUAGAGCUUGCCACUUAAGCAGGACUCCUAGGAGGAAGUUGGCUUGUUUACCAACUUUACAAGAAUGAUCCCAAGGGAAAGGGCAGUCCCCAUUUUAGAUGUGGGUUCCUGCCACUGACUACCUGUGUGACCGUAAGCUGAUCAGCCUCUCUGGGACUGCCAUCUGAUCUGUGAAACGAAGGUAUUGGGUUGGAUGACUUUUUAGGAUCUCUAAGUUCUGGAA